GGUAGUGUGGCCGAGCGGUCUAAGGCUCCAGUCUCUCUGGAGGCGUGGGUUCGAAUCCCACCGCUGCCA